rnacentral:rRNA from 1 species
UCAAACCCUAUAAAACCAAAUGAGCUAGUCUAUAGACUUAUAGACCCGUCAAUGUUAAAACUAGUAAUAAGGAAAUACAACUUCCUCUGAGCACCAGUGUAAUUCAGACCAGAUAUACCACUGAUAAUUACCGACGUAUUGGCCCAAUUAACAUUAAACAAGAAUAUUACCUAAUCCCCGUUAACCCUACACAGGAGUGCCAACAGAAGACUACAAGACAAAGAAGGAACUAGGCAACAUCAAGCUUCGCCUGUUUACCAAAAACAUCGCCUCUAGCUAAAUCCAUGUAUUAGAGGUACUGCCUGCCCAGUGACAUAGAUUCAACGGCCACGGUAUU